GACGACGCUGGCGGCGUGCCUAAUACAUGCAAGUAGGACGAGUUGCGAAUGGGUGAGUAACGCGUGGUAACCUGCCUAUUAAAGGGGGAUAAAUAUUGGAAACGAUAGCUAAUACCGCAAAAUAGUAGAUGGAACUGCGUUGUAUUAGCUAGUAGGUAGGGUAAUGGCCUACCUAGGCGACGUUACAUAGCCGACCUGAGAGGGUGAUCGGCCACACUGGGACUGAGACACGGUCCAGACUCCUACGGGAGGCAGCAGUGGGGAAUAUUGCACAAUGGGCGCAAGCCUGAUGCAGCCAUGCCGCGUGUAUGAAGAAGGCCUUCGGGUUGUAAAGUACUUUCAGCGGGGAGGCGUUACCCGCAGAAGAAGCACCGGCUAACUCCGUGCCAGCAGCCGCGGUAAUAC
rnacentral:rRNA from 1 species